AGAGUUUGAUCCUGGCUCAGGAUGAACGCUGGCGGCGUGCUUAACACAUGCAAGUCGAACGAGAGAAGAUCGGUGCUUGCACUGAUCCGAUCGAGUGGCGGACGGGUGGGUAACGCGUGGGUAACCUGCCUCAUACAGGGGAAUAACAGUUGGAAACGGCUGCUAAAACCGCAUAAGCGCACAGUAUCGCAUGAUACAGUGUGAAAAACUCCGGUGGUAUGAGAUGGACCCCGCGUCUGAUUAGCUAGUUGGUGAGGUAACGGCCCACCAAGGCAACGAUCAGUAGCCGGCCUGAGAGGGUGAACGGCCACAUUGGGACUGAGACACGGCCCAAACUCCUACGGGAGGCA
rnacentral:rRNA from 1 species